UAAUCGGAAUGAGUACACUCUAAACCCUUUAACGAGGAUCAAUUGGAGGGCAAGUCUGGUGCCAGCAGCCGCGGUAAUUCCAGCUCCAAUAGCGUAUAUUAAAGUUGUUGCGGUUAAAAAGCUCGUAGUCGAAUUUGUGUCCCGCGCCGCCGGUUCAUCGCUCGCGGUGUCAACUGGCGUGUCCGCGGGACGUCCUGCCGGUGGGCUUAGCCCCUGUGGGCGGCCCAAUCUCAAUCCCACCGCGGUGCUCUUCACUGAGUGUCGAGGUGGGCCGGCACGUUUACUUUGAACAAAUUAGAGUGCUUAAAGCAGGCUAAAACAUCGCCUGAAUACUGUGUGCAUGGAAUAAUGGAAUAGGACCUCGGUUCUAUUUUGUUGGUUUUCGGAACCCCGAGGUAAUGAUUAAUAGGAACGGAUGGGGGCAUUCGUAUUGCGACGUUAGAGGUGAAAUUCUUGGAUCGUCGCAAGACGGACAGAAGCGAAAGCAUUUGCCAAAAACGCUUUCAUUGAUCAAGAACGAAAGUUAGAGGUUCGAAGGCGAUCAGAUACCGCCCUAGUUCUAACCAUAAACGAUGCCAGCUAGCGAUCCGCCGACGUUCCUCCGAUGACUCGGCGGGCAGCUUCCGGGAAACCAAAGCUUUUGGGUUCCGGGGGAAGUAUGGUUGCAAAGCUGAAACUUAAAGGAAUUGACGGAAGGGCACCACCAGGAGUGGAGCCUGCGGCUUAAUUUGACUCAACACGGGAAACCUCACCAGGCCCGGACACCGGAAGGAUUGACAGAUUGAGAGC
rnacentral:rRNA from 1 species